AGAGUUUGAUCAUGGCUCAGGAUGAACGCUGGCGGCGUGCCUAACACAUGCAAGUCGAACGCUCCGCAAGGGGAGUGGCGCACGGGUGAGGAACACGUAGUUGACCUGCCUUCGAGCGGGGGAUAACAGUUCGAAAGGACUGCUAAUACCGCAUAACGUUGUCUCAAAUAGCGUGGGAUAACCAAAGGCUUCGGCCACUUGAAGAGGGGACUGCGACCUAUCAGGUAGUUGGUGGGGUAAAAGCCUACCAAGCCGACGACGGGUCGGGGGUCUGAGAGGAUGACCCCCCACACUGGGACUGAGACACGGCCCAGACUCCUACGGGAGGCAGCAGUGAGGGAUAUUGCACAAUGGGGGCAACCCUGAUGCAGCGACGCCGCGUGGGUGAUGAAGGCUUUCGGGUCGUAAAACCCUUUUUGGCAUGACGAGAACGGACGGUAGUGCCAGAAUAAGUCUCGGCUAACUACGUGCCAGCCGCCGCGGUAAUUC
rnacentral:rRNA from 1 species